GAGCCUCGUUCUCGCCUCGUAGAUCGUAGAUCGUAGAGGGUGUUAAGGCCCCGGCCUGUAGUGCUUUCAGACAACACAUAAAAUUAGUGUUCACGCUCAUGGCAUUUGGUCAACGGGGGCCAUGAAUGGCUGUUAGCACUAAUACCGAAAACCAGGGCUCCGUUCCCACCCUUGGGGUGAGGAAUUUGGGCUGAGGCUAGUUCCUGAGAAAGGGGAGUAUCAACACAAAACUCGACCCCAAGGCCUGAGAGGUAGACUGAGGCAGCGUGUCCAUAAUACAGCUGAAAGCACAGGGACCCAAGGAGGCCUAGUUCUUCCUAAUCACCCAGAAACUCCAAGGACAAAGAAAAGGGACGGGACGAAUGGAGACUGCCACACCAUUGGUUGUGUCCAUUUCAAUGCCCUUGUGUUCUUUGAACUAGAACCAGAGCUUCCUAGAAGGUU